rnacentral:pre_miRNA from 1 species
AAUAAGAUUAUUUUUCAGUUUUUUAUACAAUGUUUUGACUCUUCGUCUUAUUUAAAAAAAUUUUUGAUUAAUUUUUUUAUUUUUACAAGAUGAUAAAAUAUGAAAAAUACUUUAUACGCGACUAAUUUUUUAAGUUUUUUACAAAUUUUUCAAAUAAGACGAAUGGUCAAACAUUGGGUACGAAAAA